rnacentral:rRNA from 1 species
UACAGAGGGGCAAGCGUUGUUCGGAAUCACUGGGCGUAAAGGGUGCGUAGGCGGGUCUUUAAGUCAGGGUGAAAUCCUGGAGCUCAACUCCAGAACUGCCUUUGAUACUGAAGAUCUUGAGUUCGGGAGAGGUGAGUGGAACUGCGAGUGUAGAGGUGAAAUUCGUAGAUAUUCGCAAGAACACCAGUGGCGAAGGCGGCUCACUGGCCCGAUACUGACGCUGAGGCACGAAAGCGUGGGGAGCA